GUAGGUGGCAAGCGUUGUCCGGAAUUAUUGGGCGUAAAGCGCGCGCAGGCGGUCCUUUAAGUCUGAUGUGAAAGCCCACGGCUCAACCGUGGAGGGUCAUUGGAAACUGGGGGACUUGAGUACAGAAGAGGAAAGCGGAAUUCCAAGUGUAGCGGUGAAAUGCGUAGAGAUUUGGAGGAACACCAGUGGCGAAGGCGGCUUUCUGGUCGGUAACUGACGCUGAGGCGCGAAAGCGUGGGGAGCAAACAGGAUUAGAUACCCUGGUAGUCCACGCCGUAAACGAUGAGUGCUAAGUGUUAGGGGGUUUCCCGCCCCCUUAGUGCUGCAGCUAACGCAUUAAGCACUCCGCCUGGGGAGUACGGCCGCAAGGCUG
rnacentral:rRNA from 1 species